CAUUUAUCUGACAACCACUUAUAUAGGUACCUAUAAUACCUAUACAAUAAUUUAUUGCACCUUUCUCCAGUACCUAGUCAAUAAUGAAAUUAAUAAGUGAUAACAAGAUACACAAAUUUGGUUUGUCUUGACAAUUAUAUGUUUAAACUUUAUUAAUUUGACAAUUUGUCAAUUUUCUGUUAUUCGGCUUGUAAUGGAUGAUUCGAAUAAUCGUUGGUUAGUUAUUAUGACUAUACAACAAUUCUGUGACAUACCUAAUAUUUUCCUCUUCGCCAGACGACAGUGAAAAUGGCAGCAAUAAAUUUAAUUACGUACAGAGUGUAGAAACCAAAACUGCAGUACCUCAGUUUCAGAAUUAUGUUGAAAUUAUCAUACCACAAUUCAAACUUCACUUCAGAAUGCUUCUUACAACAUUUUAAAUUGAAUCAACUCUAAUUGCUCCAAACAACCAAGCGGGAUUAGAAAUCUUUUUUACUAAAUAAACAAUUUUUUAAUUGCAAUUUGGAAAAUGGCUACUCCUGACUUUUACAGAUUGUACCUAUAUCAAUUUGGAGUCUCAACAAUCACUACAGCCUGAUUAGAACUACUCCCGCUCAAAACAGUUUUUGUUAUAUCAUACAUUAAUAUACUGUAUUCAAAGAUAAUCAGACAACACAUGUAGGUCGAUCAAUUAUUGAUUAUAAAUGCCACCCAGUAUUCAGCCAAUCGAUGGCUAAUGCAUUCAUUAUUCAAAAUCAAUCACAGAUAUAACCUAUAAAGCAUUGAUUUUAUAAUAAUAUAUUAUAAAAUCAAUGGUAAUAGAACGAAAAUGUAGUCUAAACAUGGAUCUUGAUCAAGAUCAAAUUAUAUGACGUUUGCCAUCUACUUCAGCAUCAGUUUCUACGGUUUAAUCUGAAAAAUGAAUUUAUGAAACACCUAUACACAUUAAGCAAAAAAGAAAGUGUUUUGUUGGAAAUAUCAAAAUUUUGGAUCUAGAAAAUUAAAACGUUACCUUCAAAAGGAAUAAUAUACAAAUUAAUAUUGGCUCAAAAAAAUAAAAUUAAGAAUUUGAACGAAGCCGUUCGAUGGCUAAGUUGAGAUAAUGGAUUACAUGAAUAGUAUAUUAAUGAUCAAGAUGCUCCAUUAGAGACUUCAUUAAGGGCAACAGCUCCAAAACGUAAAAUCUAUAAAGCACAGAACUCAGAAGUAUUUUCCAGAAUACAGAUAAAUAAGUGCAAGGGUUGGUUCCCUGAAGUUGCUACAACGUUCCACUCUUAGCAAUGCCACAAUAAUGGAUUAGUUGAUGUCAUAAAAAGUAGUUUUCCAGAUUCAAAUAUUGCUCAAGAUUAAACUGUAAAGAACUAAAAUGGAUUUUAUUAUUACAACUGCUUUGCAUCAUAAAAAUGUUGUUUUUUCUAGAAUACUUGAAAAUACUAAAACAGUACAAUUUAGUAGAUGACUAGUAUAAGGGAUAAUCAAAACAUCUUGCUUUACCUGAGUACACUCAAGUAAUAAUUAUUGUUUAAAACAAAUACAUAAUUUAAAAAUUGUUAUUGUUAAUCACUUAUUACUUUUAUUUACAUUAAUUAAUUUUUAUUAAGUAUUUUAAUGGUUUGUUUGAUAAUAAGUCAGGGAAAAUAGAGUACAUUUUGGGAUUUAUAACAUGAAGUGUAUAAUUCUAAAAAAAAAAACUAAGAACCACCAUUACCUUGAGAGUUGAAAUUAUAAGUACUUCACUGAUAUCUACCUAU